GCCGGAGUGGUGGAAUGGUAGACGCAGUGGACUCAAAAUCCACCGGGGGCAACCCCUUGCGAGUUCGAGUCUCGCCUCCGGUACCA
rnacentral:tRNA from 4 species